rnacentral:misc_RNA from 1 species
UACUCACCAAUGAGUCCUCCUAGGUUCGACCAUGAAAUGCUGCUACCAAUUCAUAUUCCUAUUCUUUUACUCUUCAUGAUGUCCUUUGAUGAGAUAGGCCCUGAAUAUUACUUGAUGAGAAUAUUUCUGUGAUUUCUGGGGUGAUUAAUGUAUCUUUGCUUUGCAAGCUGUGCAUAUUGUGAUUAACGGUGUUGUUUUAAAACAAUUGGUUUCAGGACUGGAUGCAUGAUUGGAUUUUUUCUUUACAAGCUUUGAUUGUCUUAAAUUUUUGGUGGCACUUGAAAAAAUUUAGAUUUAUCUGCUGCUUUUUCAUUGUCUAUUCUGAGCAAACAACAAAAAUGAGCAAUCACAACCUUAUGUGCCGCUUUUCCCAUAUUUUAAAUUGCUUUCUGUCUUUGCAGUCAAGUUAAUUCUUUAUAAAUGACUUUAAACAAUUGGAGGUCUAAGGUCUUGCCAUUGCUUAUUACAAUUUCUUGUUCCAAAAUGUUCUGCUGUUUUAGAAAAAUACAUUUUGUUGUUAUUAGGGUCAAGCGGAGACACUAUGUUUAUCUUCACUGAUCUGGUUUGGCCCCUUUGUUGUCCUUACUCUUGCAAAGUUGUUUUUCAUUUUAGUUCUCCAUUAGCAUGUGUAAGUGUUGCAUUAAAGUUCUACAUAGAGCAUUGUGAAUACCCUGUUGUCUAGUGAAAUCAAUUUCCUGCGCUUUACUAUGGAUUAUUGAUUCUUUUGUGCUAGCAUCAUUCAUCAAGCAUAUCGAAAACCUUUAAUCAUGUCAGAUUUAGGAUAUUCCUGAAGAAUGUUUUAAUUUGUUGAAACCUAAGAAUGAUUCUUGGACUCGUGAUGUCAAUAUAGGGAUAAUUGGGAGGAUGGGAA